rnacentral:rRNA from 1 species
AAUGCUGACAUGAGUAACGACAAACAGUGUGAAAGACACUGUCGCCGAAAGUCCAAGGGUUCCUGCGUAAAGUUAAUCUCCGCAGGGUUAGCCGGCCCCUAAGGCGAGGCCGAAAGGCGUAGUCGAUGGGAAACAGGUUAAUAUUCCUGUACUUGGUGUUACUGCGAAGGGGGGACGGAGAAGGCUAUGUUAGCCGGGCGACGGUUGUCCCGGUUUAAGCAUGUAGGCGGAGGUUCCAGGUAAAUCCGGUACCUUUUAACGCUGAGGUGUGAUGACGAGGCACUACGGUGCUGAAGUAACAAAUGCCCUGCUUCCAGGAAAAGCCUCUAAGCAUCAGGUAACAUUGAAUCGUACCCCAAACCGACACAGGUGGUCAGGUAGAGAAUACCAAGGCGCUUGAGAGAACUCGGGUGAAGGAACUAGGCAAAAUGGCACCGUAACUUCGGGAGAAGGUGCGCCGGUGAGGGUGAAGCACUUGCUGCGUAAGCCCACGCCGGUCGAAGAUACCAGGCCGCUGCGACUGUUUAUUAAAAACACAGCACUGUGCAAACACGAAAGUGGACGUAU